AUACGGAGGAUGCAAGCGUUAUCCGGAUUUAUUGGGUUUAAAGGGUGCGCAGGCGGCGCGUUAAGUCAGUGGUGAAAUGUCUGGGCUCAACCUGGGCAGUGCCAUUGAUACUGGCGUGCUAGAGUACGGACGGCGCCGGCGGAAUGUGUCAUGUAGCGGUGAAAUGCUUAGAUAUGCCACAGAACACCGAUCGCGAAGGCAGCUGGCGAGGCCGGUACUGACGCUCAGGCACGAAAGCGUGGGGAUCAAACAGGAUUAGAUACCCUGGUAGUCCACGCAGUAAACGAUGAUGACUUGUUGUCGGCGAUAGACAGCCGGUGACAAAGCGAAAGCGAUAAGUCAUCCACCUGGGGAGUACGAUCGCAAGGUUGAAACUCAAAUGAAUUGACGGGG
rnacentral:rRNA from 1 species